rnacentral:rRNA from 1 species
UACUGAGUGGCAGACGGGUGAGUAACAUGUGGGAAUCUGCCUUGUGGUUCAGGACAACAUUGGGAAACCGAUGCUAAUACUGGAUAAGCCCUUACGGGGAAAGUUUUAAUGCCAUAAGAUGAGCCCGCAUUUGAUUAGUUAGUUGGUGAGGUAAUAGCUCACCAAGACAAUGAUCAAUAGCUGAUCUGAGAGGAUGAUCAGCCACACUGGGACUGAGACACGGCCCAGACUCCUACGGGAGGCAGCAGUGGGGAAUCUUGCACAAUGGAGGAAACUCUGAUGCAGCGAUGCCGCGUGAGUGAAGAAGGCCUUUGGGUUGUAAAGCUCUUUUGUAGGGGAAGAUAAUGACUGUACCCUAAGAAUAAGGUCCGGCUAACUUCGUGCCAGCAGCCGCGGUAAUACGAAGGGACCUAGCGUAGUUCGGAAUUACUGGGCGUAAAGCGCGCGUAGGCCGUUGAGUUAGUUAAUUGUGAAAUCCCAAAGCUUAACUUUGGAACUGCAAU